AGAGUUUGAUCAUGGCUCAGGAUGAACGCUGGCGGCGUGCCUAAUACAUGCAAGUCGAGCGAACCACUUCGGUGGUGAGCGGCGAACGGAUGAGUAACACGUAGGUGAUCUGCCCAUCAGACGGGGACAACGAUUGGAAACGAUCGCUAAUACCGGAUAGGACGAAAGUUUAAAGGUGCUUCUGGCACCGCUGAUGGAUGAGCCUGCGGCGCAUUAGCUAGUUGGUAGGGUAAAGGCCUACCAAGGCGACGAUGCGUAGCCGACCUGAGAGGGUGAACGGCCACACUGGGACUGAGACACGGCCCAGACUCCUACGGGAGGCAGCAGUAGGGAAUCUUCGGCAAUGGGCGAAAGCCUGACCGAGCAACGCCGCGUGAAUGAUGAAGGCCUUCGGGUUGUAAAAUUCUGUUAUAAGGGAAGAACGACUUUAGUAGGAAAUGGCUAGAGUGUGACGGUACCUUAUGAGAAAGCCACGGCUAACUACGUGCCAGCAGCCGCGGUAAUACGUAGGUGGCGGGCGUUAUCCGGAAUUAUUGGGCGUAAAGAGCGCGCAGGUGGUUGAUUAAGUCUGAUGUGAAAGCCCACGGCUUAACCGUGGAGGGUCAUUGGAAACUGGUCGACUUGAGUGCAGAAGAGGGAAGUGGAAUUCCAUGUGUAGCGGUGAAAUGCGUAGAGAUAUGGAGGAACACCAGUGGCGAAGGCGGCUUCCUGGUCUGUAACUGACACUGAGGCGCGAAAGCGUGGGGAGCAAACAGGAUUAGAUACCCUGGUAGUCCACGCCGUAAACGAUGAGUGCUAAGUGUUGGGGGUCGAACCUCAGUGCUGAAGUUAACGCAUUAAGCACUCCGCCUGGGGAGUACGGUCGCAAGACUGAAACUCAAAGGAAUUGACGG
rnacentral:rRNA from 1 species